rnacentral:rRNA from 1 species
AACGAACGCUUGCGGCAGGCCUAACACAUGCAAGUUGAACGAUAGGCUGGCUUUUGUCAGCUGAAAGUAGCGAACGGGUGCGUAACACGUGGGAACAUACCUCUAGGAGGGGGACAGCUACGGGAAACUGUAGUUAAUACCGCAUGACCUCUACGGAGCAAAGAUUUUUUCGCCUAGAGAUUGGCCCGCGCUCGAUUAGAUAGUUGGUGGGGUAAUAGCCUACCAAGUCUGCGAUCGAUAGCUGGUUUGAGAGAAUGAUCGGCCACACUGGGACUGAGAUACGGCCCAGACUCCUACGGGGAGGCAGCAGUGAGGAAUAUUGGACAAUGGGGGAAACCCUGAUCCAGCCAUGCCGCGUGAGUGAUGAAGGCCCUAGGGUUGUAAAGCUCUUUUGGCGGGGAAGAUAAUGACUGUACCCGCAGAAAAAGCCCCGGCUAACUCCGUGCCAGCCGCCGCGGUAAU